rnacentral:rRNA from 1 species
CAGCCGCCGCGGGAAUACGGAGGGUGCAAGCGUUAAUCGGAAUUACUGGGCGUAAAGCGUGCGUAGGCGGUUCGUUAAGUCUGUUGUGAAAGCCCCGGGCUCAACCUGGGAAUGGCAAUGGAUACUGGCGAGCUAGAGUGUGUCAGAGGAUGGUGGAAUUCCCGGUGUAGCGGUGAAAUGCGUAGAGAUCGGGAGGAGCAUCAGUGGCGAAGGCGGCCAUCUGGGACAACACUGACGCUGAGGCACGAAAGCGUGGGGAGCAAACAGGAUUAGAUACCCCCGUAGUCCCUGUCUCUUAUAC